GGCGACCAUCAGCUAUCACUGGUGACCAUCAGCUAUCACUGGGGACCAUCAGCUAUCACCGGGGACUGUCAGCUAUCACCGUGGUCCAUCAGCUAUCAUCGUGGUCCAUCAGCUUUCACCGUGGUCCAUCAGCUAUCACCGGGGACGAUCAGCUAUCACCGUGGUCCGUCAGCUAUCACCGGGGACCAUCAGCUAUCACCGUAGUCAAUCAGCUAUCACUGGGCACCAUCAGCUAUCACAUGUAAUUAUCAGCUAUCACCAGGAAUUAUUAGCUAUCAUCUUGAACCAUAAGCUUACACUGACCGUAUGGAAUAUUUUCUUGUAGCAGAUACGUUUAUAAAUAUUGUGACGAUAUAAGUUUAUAUACAUUAAAGGUCCGCUGUGGGCAGUGACAGACAAGGUGUGAUACAGACGUUAUGCCGCUAAACUUAUUAUUACCAAGACCAUGCAUCCGAAUACUGAAAUACUCAAGCGUAGCUCUCAUUGCCAUUGGGAUAAUAUUUAUUUUCAUGAUAGACGAAGAUGGGCUGAUUCUGAAUUCCAUUAAUUUUGAAAGCGCCAUUAAUCUACAGAAAGCAGGUGCCAUUCAAAAUAAAACAUCAUACGUGCGUGUCAAUGGUGAGCACGAAACAACGAACGCUACUUCAACGUCCAAAAUAACGACAUCGACGACACUUAAACCAGUUAUUGUAAAAGAUGGAAAUAAAACAAAAUCAUUACAUAAAGUUAAAGGUGAUUAUGGAUGAUUGUACAAAUAUAAACAUUUUGGUAUGGAACAUUUUGACAUUUACAUAACUUUGUCGGUUGAACUAGGAUUGAGCAUUUUAGAAGUUGUCUUCAGUUGUACAUUCAACUUUAUUCUUAUUCGGGGAACGGACGAAAGCCCAAUAGAUAAUAUAUCACUUCGAAAUAGUCAAUUGCUACAUUUGGCAUCGCGGACAGCAAUCACUGCCAUUCAAAACGGUUUCAAAAGUACUUUAGAUACACGUGUUUUAAAUUAUUUUGUAAAAAAUAUUAUAUAAGUAUUGCUGAUGAAUAUAAAUUUAUAUGUUAAAGUCAACUCUGCUGAAAUAUUAGAUAGAGUAACCUAAAAAGUACAUCUAUUACACAUAUUUAAUGAUAGAAGUAACAAUUGCAUAUAUAGAAUAAGAUAUUUGUAAAGAAACAUAAUUAUGUAAAUAAUAUGAAAGAAUAUUACAAGUAAAUAAAAAGUGAGAUAUAUUUACAUAAAA